rnacentral:rRNA from 1 species
AUACGGAGGGUGCAAGCGUUACUCGGAAUCACUGGGCGUAAAGCGCGCGCAGGCGGCUAUUUAAGUUGGAUGUGAAAGCCUAUGGCUCAACCAUAGAACUGCAUCCAAAACUAUUUAGCUAGAGUGUGGGAGAGGAAGAUGGAAUUAGUUGUGUAGGGGUAAAAUCCGUAGAGAUUACUAGGAAUACCAAAAGCGAAGGCGAUCUUCUGGAACAGUACUGACGCUGAGAUGCGAAAGCGUGGGGAGCAAACAGGAUUAGAUACCCUAGUAGUCC